rnacentral:rRNA from 1 species
CACGGGUGAGUAACGCGUGGGUAAUCUGCCCUUGGAUUUGGGAUAACUUCGCGAAAGUGGAGCUAAUACCGGAUAGUCUGGCUUUGUAAAAGGAGUCGGUAAAGGAUGCCUCUGCAUAUGCAUUCGUCCGAGGAUGAGCCCGCGUCUCAUUAGCUAGUUGGUAGGGUAACGGCCUACCAAGGCGACGAUGAGUAGCUGGUCUGAGAGGAUGAUCAGCCACACUGGGACUGAAACACGGCCCAGACUCCUGCGGGAGGCAGCAGUGGGGAAUAUUGCGCAAUGGGCGAAAGCCUGACGCAGCAACGCCGUGUGAGGGAUGAAGGUUUUCGGAUCGUAAACCUCUGUCAGAAGGGAAGAAGUGAUGCGGGUCCAAUAGGCCCGCAU